rnacentral:rRNA from 1 species
UACGUAGGGGGCGAGCGUUGUCCGGAUUUAUUGGGCGUAAAGAGCGCGUAGGCGGCUGUUCAAGUCGAUUGUGAAAACUCAGGGCUCAACCCUGAGACUGCGUUCGAUACUGGAUGGCUAGAGGCUGGUAGGGGGAUGUGGAAUUCCCGGUGUAGCGGUGGAAUGCGCAGAUAUCGGGAGGAACACCGGUGGCGAAGGCGGCAUCCUGGGCCAGUUCUGACGCUGAUGCGCGAAAGCGUGGGGAGCAAACAGG